UACGGAGGGGGCAAGCGUUAUUCGGAAUCAUUGGGCGUAAAGGGCGCGUAGGCGGCUUGGCAAGUCAAAGGUGAAAUCCCUCGGCCUAACCGAGGAACUGCCUUUGAAACUGCUUGGCUUGAGGCCGGGGGAGGGUAGCGGAAUUCCCAGUGUAGCGGUGAAAUGCGUAGAUAUUGGGAGGAACACCAGUGGCGAAGGCGGCUACCUGGACCGGUUCUGACGCUGAGGCGCGAAAGCGUGGGGAGCAAACAGG
rnacentral:rRNA from 1 species